UGAGGAAUAUUGCACAAUGGGCGCAAGCCUGAUGCAGCAACGCCGCGUGCGGGACGAAGGCCUUCGGGUCGUAAACCGCUUUUCUGGGGGAAGAGCAAGGACGGUACCUCAGGAAUAAGUCUCGGCUAACUACGUGCCAGCAGCCGCGGUAAAACGUAGGAGGCGAGCGUUAUCCGGAUUUACUGGGUGUAAAGGGCGCGCAGGCGGGAUAAAAAGUCAGUGGUGAAAUCCUACAGCUUAACUGUAGAACUGCCUUUGAUACUUUUAUUCUUGAGUUCGGGAGAGAGAGACGGAAUUCCAGGUGUAGUGGUGAAAUACGUAGAUAUCUGGAAGAACACCAGUUGCGAAGGCGGUCUCUUGGUCCGACACUGACGCUGAGGCGCGAAAGCGUGGGGAGCAAACA
rnacentral:rRNA from 1 species